UGGAGAUGGCGACCGGCGCACGGGUGAGUAACACGUAUCCAACCUGCCGAUAACUCGGGGAUAGCCUUUCGAAAGAAAGAUUAAUACCCGAUGGCAUAAUAGAACCGCAUGGUUUGAUUAUUAAAAGAAAUUUCGGUUAUCGAUGGGGAUGCGUUCCAUUAGGCAGUUGGUGGGGUAACGGCCCACCAAACCUUCGAUGGAUAGGGGUUCUGAGAGGAAGGUCCCCCACAUUGGAACUGAGACACGGUCCAAACUCCUACGGGAGGCAGCAUG
rnacentral:rRNA from 1 species